CUUACACUGAAACUGUCAACCAUCACUACUUGCUCUUUCAAGACACAGAUUUGGGUUCAUUCCAUGAUCUGCUCCGUAGAGAACCAAUGCUGCGCAUGCAGGAGGGAGAGGGGCAUUCUCAACUCUGCCUGGACAGGCUGCAGCUGGAGGCUAUUCAUAAGACGGCCUGGCUUCUCUCCAACCAGCCAUCGCCUUCUGCCCACUCCCUAGCCUUGGCCCACACCAGAUCCUUGGAGUGAAGUCGGUCAAGAACAAAUGGCCCCUAUGCACAGAGCCAUAGGAACUGGGGGCCUUCCCUGGACAGUGAUCAUGCCAGGCCUGGACCUUUAGGCCUGCCUCCCCAGGACUCCUUAGAUCCCACUCUUUCUACAGACUUCUGUGAUCACAGCCCCCUGCGGGCAGGGGGGCUCUCCCUCCACCAACUCUCAAGGCUCCUCAGCCUAAGACUAUGGCUCAUGAGAAACACUCAGGCCUGACCUAGGCUUGGGAGUCAAACUGCUCAUAUUGAGCAUAUUGUUAAGUGGGUAAAGCCAAGUAAAGGUACUGGGUGUUUUUGUGACCACUUGUGAAUGGGUGUAUGGAGAACUGAAAA
rnacentral:lncRNA from 1 species